rnacentral:rRNA from 1 species
UGGGGAAUUUUGGACAAUGGGCGAAAGCCUGAUCCAGCCAUGCCGCGUGAGUGAAGAAGGCCUUCGGGUUGUAAAGCUCUUUUAGUCGGAAAGAAAGAGUUGCAAUGAAUAAUUGUGAUUUAUGACGGUACCGACAGAAAAAGCACCGGCUAACUACGUGCCAGCAGCCGCGGUAAUACGUAGGGUGCGAGCGUUAAUCGGAAUUACUGGGCGUAAAGGGUGCGCAGGCGGUCUUUCAAGUCAGGUGUGAAAGCCCCGGGCUUAACCUGGGAAUUGCGUUUGAAACUACAAGGCUAGAGUGCAGCAGAGGGGAGUGGAAUUCCAUGUGUAGCAGUGAAAUGCGUAGAGAUGUGGAAGAACACCGAUGGCGAAGGCAGCUCCCUGGGUUGACACUGACGCUCAUGCACGAAAGCGUGGGGAGCAAACA